UACGUAGGGUGCGAGCGUUAAUCGGAAUUACUGGGCGUAAAGCGUGCGCAGGCGGUUUUGUAAGCCAGAUGUGAAAGCCCCGGGCUUAACCUGGGAAUGGCAUUUGGGACUGCAAGGCUUGAGUGCGGCAGAGGAGACUGGAAUUCCUGGUGUAGCAGUGAAAUGCGUAGAUAUCAGGAGGAAUACCGAUGGCGAAGGCAGGUCUCUGGCUGGACACUGACGCUCAUGCACGAAAGCGUGGGGAGCGAAACAAG
rnacentral:rRNA from 1 species